GACGAACGCUGGCGGCGUGCUUAACACAUGCAAGUCGAACGCUGAAGCUCAGCAUUUGUUGGGUGGAUGAGUGGCGAACGGGUGAGUAACACGUGAGUAACCUGCCCCCUUCUUUGGGAUAACGCCCGGAAACGGGUGCUAAUACUGGAUAUUCACUGGUCUUCGCCUGGGGGUUGGUGGAAAGGGUUUUUCUGGUGGGGGAUGGGCUCGCUGCCUAUCAGCUUGUUGGUGGGGUGAUGGCCUACCAAGGCUUUGACGGGUAGCCGGCCUGAGAGGGUGACCGGUAACAUUGGGACGGAGAUACGGCCCAGACUCCGACGGGGGGCAGCAGUGGGGACUAUUGGACAAUGGGUGAAAGCGUGAUGCCGCGUCGCUGCGUGAGGGAUGGAGGCCUUCGGGUUGUGAAACUCUGUCGCUCAUGAUCAAGCCGAAACAAUGGUUGUGGUGAGGGUAGUGGGUAAAGAAGCGCCGGCUAACUACGUG
rnacentral:rRNA from 1 species